rnacentral:rRNA from 1 species
AGCAGCCGCGGUAAUUCCAGCUCCAAUAGCGUAUAUUAAAGUUGUUGCAGUUAAAAAGCUCGUAGUUGAAUUUCGGGGUCAGUAGGUUGGUCGUGCCACCGGUACGUACUGGUCUCACUGAUUCCUCCUUCCUGAUGAGCUGUAAUGCCAUUAAUUUGGUGUUGCAGGGAAUCUGGACUGUUACUUUGAAAAAAUUAGAGUGUUUAAAGCAGGCUAACGCUUGAAUACAUUAGCAUGGAAUAAUGAAAUAGGACGUUCGAUCCUAUUUUGUUGGUUUCUAGGAUUGACGUAAUGAUUAAUAGGGAUAGUUGGGGGCAUUAGUAUUCAAUUGUCAGAGGUGAAAUUCUUGGAUUUAUUGAAGACUAACUACUGCGAAAGCAUUUGCCAAGGAUGUUUUCAUUAAUCAAGAACGAAAGUUAGGGGAUCGAAGACGAUCAGAUACCGUCGUAGUCUUAACCAUAAACUAUGCCGACUAGGGAUCGGAUGAUGUUAAUUUUUUUAAUGACUCAUUCGGCGUACC